rnacentral:rRNA from 1 species
AGUGAACGCUGGCGGUAGGCCUAACACAUGCAAGUCGAACGGCAGCACAGUAAGAGCUUGCUCUUACGGGUGGCGAGUGGCGGACGGGUGAGGAAUACAUCGGAAUCUACUUUUUCGUGGGGGAUAACGUAGGGAAACUUACGCUAAUACCGCAUACGUCCUACGGGUGAAAGCAGGGGAUCUUCGGACCUUGCGCGAUUGAAUGAGCCGAUGUCGGAUUAGCUAGUUGGCGGGGUAAAGGCCCACCAAGGCGACGAUCCGUAGCUGGUCUGAGAGGAUGAUCAGCCACACUGGAGCUGAGACACGGUCCAGACUCCUACGGGAGGCAGCAGUGGGGAAUAUUGGACAAUGGGCGCAAGCCUGAUCCAGCCAUACCGCGUGGGUGAAGAAGGCCUUCGGGUUGUAAAGCCCUUUUGUUGGGAAAGAAAAGCAGCAGGUUAAUACCCCGCUGUUCUGACGGUACCCAAAGAAUAAGCACCGGCUAACUUCGUG